rnacentral:rRNA from 1 species
UGGGGAAUUUUGGACAAUGGGCGAAAGCCUGAUCCAGCAAUGCCGCGUGUGUGAAGAAGGCCUUCGGGUUGUAAAGCACUUUUGUCCGGAAAGAAAUCCUUGGCUCUAAUACAGUCGGGGGAUGACGGUACCGGAAGAAUAAGCACCGGCUAACUACGUGCCAGCAGCCGCGGUAAUACGUAGGGUGCAAGCGUUAAUCGGAAUUACUGGGCGUAAAGCGUGCGCAGGCGGUUUGCUAAGACCGAUGUGAAAUCCCCGGCGUCAACCUGGGAACUGCAUUGGUGACUGGCAGGCUAGAGUAUGGCAGAGGGGGGUAGAAUUCCACGUGUAGCAGUGAAAUGCGUAGAGAUGUGGAGGAAUACCGAUGGCGAAGGCAGCCCCCUGGGCCAAUACUGACGCUCAUGCACGAAAGCGUGGGGAGCAAACAGGAUUAGAUACCCUGGUAGUCCACGCCCUAAAACGAUGUCAACUAGUUGUUGGGGAUUCAUUUCCUUAGUAACGUAGCUAACGCGUGAAGUUGACCGCCUGGGGAGUACGGUCGCAAGAUUAAAACUUAAAUGAAUUGACGGGGUCAUAGCUGUUUCCU